CUUGCUUCUGCCGCCAGAGUUAGUUUUGUAAAGCCUGGGCAAGGGCAGGGCCGGGUAGGAUGAGCUCCGGCGGCUGUUCGACGUGCCUGGAGACCGUCUUCGCCGCCGUCCUCCCGCCGCUCGGCGUCUUCUUCCGCCGGAGUUCUUCAUCUCGCUGCCGCUGACGUUGCUCGGCUACGUCCCCGGCAUCAUCUACUCCCUCUAUGUCAUCCUGAAGGCGCCGCCGGAGCUGCCGAGCAUCGACGGCGACCGCCCCUACUACAUCCUCGCCUGAGAAGCUCCUUCGAGCAUAGCGUACGUACAUGCUACUGUAGUUUAGCUCGCUCGCUGCAUACUGUGUCGCCAUUGGUUGAAUUGGAGAUGAUUUGUAAUUAAGCUGUGUGUUAGUGUGUGGACGUAGCCAGUGCUUUGAGGAAUUAGCCACUGUUCUUUCUUUCUUGAUUGGAUUGGUGAUGUGCUGUAUAAUUGUUUCGGCUGUGGAUUAACGUACUCUCGAUGCUAGAAAUUAACAGCUA